UCGUGCUAGAUGGGGAGCUAGCGGUGCCCUACAACCCGAGAUCCGCUUAUGCGGGGUCGAAAGUCCUUUCAGAGAACCCCUCAUCAGCACUGACCCUGACCGGCUUUGACGAAGGAGUGGACCUCACGUGACAGACGGUUGCGAACCCCGUCAGGUCCGGAAGGAAGCAGCGGUAAGUAAUGCGGUCUGUGUCGUGCUGCUCUCUACUCUCUCUCGGGCCGCUUAAGACAGGCUCCUGAGGAUUCGAAAAAGGAUGCACGA
rnacentral:SRP_RNA from 1 species